rnacentral:rRNA from 1 species
GAUCAUCCUGAGGUAGAACGUGCCUGUCUCUAAAGGUAAUCCACAGGACUCUAAGCACUUCCAGCUGAUGUUUGAGCCCUUGUUCAGCUGCUACCUGCAGAACUGUGGUAAUUCUAGAACUAAUCCAUGCCUGUGGGCAACAGUAGCUCUGCUCUGAUGAUUCUAGAUAACCUGGAUUGCAUGUCCUGUGGCCUCUUCAAGAAGUCAUUGUGCCUACCAUGGUUACCACUAUGUCUGGGAGUCCAGAUAAUGGGAAAUCUGGGUUCAGUUCCACAGAGGAAGCACAGUAAUCAGUUACCCCAACCAAGGAAGGCAGUGACGAUUAACAGCUGGAGUUUUUCAAGGUCCGGUAAUUGGAAUGAGGCCACUUAGAAUCCUUUAAGGCUGACCCAUUGCAGGGCAAAUCCUGCCUGCAGCUGAAGAAAUCCCUAGUUUCAAUGGCAAGGUAGUGAAUUUCGUGUGUUAAAAUGCUGUGUGAUCUCCUGUAGGGCAGUGUGUCUACACUGGGGAGCCCCUGUUCCAUCCUCAUCCUCUGCUUCUUGCUUGUCCUGGCUCUGAGCCGAGUUUCCCUGGGCUGAAAUAUGCUCUUGAGGAAACUGGGGUACUCAAAGAAGGCUGCCUGCACACUGCCCCUGGAAAUUGCAGAAGGGGAAUGUGGUUCAGUUUCGUUUGUGUUAAAACUUUGGUUGCAGAGGCCUGUUAGGUGGGAUGAUUGGGAGAUUGGUAUUGUAUCACUAGAGCUCACAGUCUUCAAUUGAUGCAGUUCUGACCAGAGAAUAAGCUUUUGCCAUGGAUGUUUCCAUUAAUUAAGGAUGAAGGUGAAAAUAGGAGGUUUGAAGAAAUUCCAAGCCUGUGUUGUUCUGACCAUAAAUGAUGCCAGUGCCAGUGUUAUUCCCAGUAAUGUGCUGGCAGCUUCUAGGAAACCACAUCCCUCAAAUGUGGUAGCUGGAGUGUCUGGUUUCAAAGCUGAAGUUGAAAAGGCACAGCUAUGUAACCUAUGCCUAAUUUGACUCAAGCUGGACAACCCUACUCGACUCCAUUGCAGGCAGGAUUGGCAUGUUGAUAGCUCUUCCGUGGGUGGUUGUUGCAUGACCUUUUCUGUGUUGUCUGGUUUAUUGACAACCAGGGAGACUAGUGUGCUAACCACUUAGGUUACCCUGAAAGUUCAGUAUCCCUAACUUUGACAGAUGUUGUUGAGCAGCCCAAGACUGAGCAGUCAGAAGUCACUGAUGCUCUUAAGUGGCUGGGACUUUGCCACACUGCCCUGUGUGUGCACAUCCUAGUCUGGCAGGUGCUGGGGGUUGAUUAUUAAAUCCUUUUGUGGUAGGCUCUGGGUUGCAGUUAUUCCUCAUUAAUGAGGAAUUCCCUGUAAAAGAGUCAAUCAGAAGCUUUUAUCAGGCCCUUCCCUCUUGCUCACCCUGCCACUGGGCCCUCAGAUUGCCACUUGGGGUUUGCACUUGGCCUUGGUGGAUCAUUGAGAAGAUGGUCUAAAUAAAAAGUUGCAACCAGGUUUUGGUUGGUGGUCCUGUGGCAGGACCACAU